rnacentral:rRNA from 1 species
UACGGGGGGGGCAAGCGUUGUUCGGAAUUACUGGGCGUAAAGCGCGUGUAGGCGGUUGUUCAAGUCAGGUGUGAAAGCCUUGAGCUCAACUCAAGAAAUGCACUUGAUACUGGAUGACUAGAGGACCGGAGAGGAUAGUGGAAUUCCCAGUGUAGUGGUGAAAUACGUAGAGAUUGGGAAGAACACCAGUGGCGAAGGCGGCUAUCUGGACGGUUUCUGACGCUAAGACGCGAAAGCGUGGGGAGCAAACAGG